UCUUUUCCCAUCCUUCAGGAGAGUUUGUCGCUGAGGGAUUCCCACGGACGAUGGUUUUGGAUUGGACGAGCAGCCGCUCGUCCUGUGAGCAGCAUGGAGCCCAAGUGUCCAGACCGCCAUGCAGGACUGAAGUUUUUGUUCAACUAAUAGGUAUUUGGGUGAAAGGUGAGAAGUCAACUGUUCGUAAUUGAAUGGUCUUCUGCUAAGAACAGCUUCAGCCUACUGAUCAGGACACCUUACAGUCACUCUGUAAAUAAGUGAGAAACUGCGCCCUCCAUGUAGGUUCCGCUGUUGCUGUCACCCUGCCCUUCGAGACUAGUUGCAGAACUACAUUUCUGUCACCAUUCUUAAUCAAGAUCUCUGCUGGACCUUGGGUAAACCGUCCUGCCCUGGUUCAUAUUUAUUAGAUUGUAACCAAAUUCAUAACAAUGUAAACUGUUUUGUGAUUGUGUUCAGUAGAUUGUUUUGGGUUAGGGAACAGAUUUAAAAAAAAAG